GAUGAACGCUGGCGGCGUGCUUAACACAUGCAAGUCGAACGAUGAAGCCCAGCUUGCUGGGUGGAUUAGUGGCGAACGGGUGAGUAACACGUGAGUAACCUGCCCUUAACUCUGGGAUAAGCCUGGGAAACUAGGUCUAAUACCGGAUAGGAGCGCCUACCGCAUGGUGGGCGUUGGAAAGAUUUAUCGGUUUUGGAUGGACUCGCGGCCUAUCAGCUUGUUGGUGAGGUAAUGGCUCACCAAGGCGACGACGGGUAGCCGGCCUGAGAGGGUGACCGGCCACACUGGGACUGAGACACGGCCCAGACUCCUACGGGAGGCAGCAGUGGGGAAUAUUGCACAAUGGGCGCAAGCCUGAUGCAGCGACGCCGCGUGAGGGAUGACGGCCUUCGGGUUGUAAACCUCUUUCAGUAGGGAAGAAGCGAAAGUGACGGUACCUGCAGAAGAAGCACCGGCUAACUACGUG
rnacentral:rRNA from 1 species